GCGGCGGCGGCGGCGGCGGCCCGGAGCCCCCGAGCCCCCGGCAGGUGCGCCUGCCCUUCCCCGCGAUCUGAUUGGAUACAGUGGGGGCUCGACGGUGGCCGCCGUGGGACAGUGCGGCGGCGGCAGGGGUCUCGGAAACCAUGGGUUAUUGCAGCGGCAGGUGCACGCUCAUCUUCAUCUGUGGCAUGCAACUGGAAACAUAUUCAUGCAAAGGUACGACAAAACCAUCAUUUUAAAAUCCCAGCAGUCUUCUGGAUGGAGGUGACCACUGAUUCACAGCCCAUUGGAGAAGGUCAUCAAGAGCACAGGACUUCCAAUUGACCCUGGUGCUAGACCGUGGGCAGUGGGAUGCUCCUCAUCCUUUCCCCUGACCUUGGAAUAUCCCUUCUGCUCACCGGGCCCACGGUGGGAGCUGUUCCAAGGAUGCAGCCUUGAAAGAGUAACAUGCUGUUGAGACCAUCUGUUCCUCAUAUGCAGCUGAACCCAGUGAAGUCCUCUGUUAGAGACUUUCAAGAUUCUGGUGGGCAGGCUUAGAAAUCUGCUUGCCUUGUGGCCACCCAAGACUAACGUCAUAUGGAAAUUCUCUCUCACUUAUUAAAGCUCCAUCUGCCAAUCUGGAGUGAUCUGCUUAUGUCUUUGGUCUCUCGUCACCCUCUGUGUAUGG
rnacentral:lncRNA from 1 species